rnacentral:tRNA from 1 species
AUAUUUAUAGUUAAUAUUAAUUAUAACAUUAAAAUGCAAUUUUAAAAUAAAUCAAAAUUUGAAUAUA